UAGGGAAUCUUCCGCAAUGGACGCAAGUCUGACGGAGCAACGCCGCGUGAGUGAAGAAGGAUUUCGGUUCGUAAAACUCUGUUGUUAGAGAAGAACAGCGCAUAGAGUAACUGUUAUGCGUGUGACGGUAUCUAACCAGAAAGCCACGGCUAACUACGUGCCAGCAGCCGCGGUAAUACGUAGGUGGCAAGCGUUGUCCGGAUUUAUUGGGCGUAAAGCGAGCGCAGGCGGUUAAUUAAGUCUGAUGUGAAAGCCCCCGGCUCAACCGGGGAGGGUCAUUGGAAACUGGUUGACUUGAGUGGAGAAGAGGAGAGUGGAAUUCCAUGUGUAGCGGUGAAAUGCGUAGAUAUAUGGAGGAACACCAGUGGCGAAGGCGACUCUCUGGUCUGUAACUGACGCGGAGGCUAGAAAGCGUGGGUAGCAAACAGG
rnacentral:rRNA from 1 species